AUUGAACGCUGGCGGCAUGCCUUACACAUGCAAGUCGAACGGUAACAGGUCUUCGGAUGCUGACGAGUGGCGAACGGGUGAGUAAUACAUCGGAACGUGCCCAGACGUGGGGGAUAACGAGGCGAAAGCUUUGCUAAUACCGCAUACGAUCUAAGGAUGAAAGCAGGGGACCGCAAGGCCUUGCGCGUUUGGAGCGGCCGAUGGCAGAUUAGGUAGUUGGUGGGAUAAAAGCUUACCAAGCCGACGAUCUGUAGCUGGUCUGAGAGGACGACCAGCCACACUGGGACUGAGACACGGCCCAGACUCCUACGGGAGGCAGCAGUGGGGAAUUUUGGACAAUGGGCGAAAGCCUAAUCCAGCAAUGCCGCGUGCAGGAUGAAGGCCUUCGGGUUGUAAACUGCUUUUGUACGGAACGAAAAGGCUCUGGCUAAUACCUGGGGCACAUGACGGUACCGUAAGAAUAAGCACCGGCUAACUACGUG
rnacentral:rRNA from 1 species